GGAAUUUUAAAGGAUUUAGACGAAGGGUCUCGUUAUUCCUUGAAUCGUAAUUUCUGCCGCCAUAGGGAAGUGGACAGGUUGAGGGCGUUUUGGGGACAGAAUCUACAGUUUACCAGUGGCCCCAGAAUGUCCUACAAAAGAGGUGAAAUCAGUAUUGGAGAAGUGGCCUUAUGAAGAUGGGAGCAGGACUACUCCAUUUGACGGCUGACUUCACACCCAAUGGAAUAACCAUAUCCCAACCUGAUCUCAGUGGAUAAGCCCGUAGGGUUAAGGCCUAGGCCAUGUAUUAGGAAGUUGCUGAAUGGCACUCUGAAUACAGCUCCUUGGUAAAGGAAUUCUUGUGAAAAGUUGUGUUCCAUUUGUGUAUUGUACUUGAAAGUAGCUGUGGGCACUAUCCACAUUUUAACUUGCUGUGUUAACCAAUGUUAGUUUAUUAUCUCAGAACUCUGGCUGCACCAUUACAGUAUCAACAUUCAUUUAUUUUUGGCAGCGGCGGGGCCAUGACUUUACCACGAGCAUAUCAAGGAAUAUCACAAUAAGCUGCAUGACACUA